CAAUAGCGUAUAUUAAAGUUGUUGCAGUUAAAAGCUCGUAGUUGGAUUUCUGGUUGGAGCGACCGGUCGGGCAUUGAUUUGUCUGCACUGGAGUCGGUUCUGGCCAUCCUCUUGGAAAGUGCGUCUGUCAUUAAGUUGUCGGGCGUAUGAUCCAGGUCUUUUACUGUGAAAAAUUAGAGUGUUCAAAGCAGGCUUCGCCUUGAAUAUGUUAGCAUGGAAUAAUGACAUAGGACUUUGGUUCUAUUUGUUGGUUGUUCGAGAACUAGAGUAAUGAUUGAUAGGGACGGUUGGGGGGCAUACGUAUUCCGGGGCGAGAGGUGAAAUUCUUGGACCCCCGGAAGACGAACCGCUGCGAAAGCGUUUGCCUAGGACGUUCUCUUUAAUCAAGAACGAAAGUUGGGGGUCGAAGAUGAUCAGAUACCA
rnacentral:rRNA from 1 species